GACGAACGUUGGCGGCGUGCUUAACACAUGCAAGUCGAACGGAAAGGCCCUGCUUUUGUGGGGUGCUCGAGUGGCGAACGGGUGAGUAACACGUGAGUAACCUGCCCUUGACUUUGGGAUAACUUCAGGAAACUGGGGCUAAUACCGGAUAGGAGCUCCUGCUGCAUGGUGGGGGUUGGAAAGUUUCGGCGGUUGGGGAUGGACUCGCGGCUUAUCAGCUUGUUGGUGGGGUAGUGGCUUACCAAGGCUUUGACGGGUAGCCGGCCUGAGAGGGUGACCGGCCACAUUGGGACUGAGAUACGGCCCAGACUCCUACGGGAGGCAGCAGUGGGGAAUAUUGCACAAUGGGCGGAAGCCUGAUGCAGCAACGCCGCGUGCGGGAUGACGGCCUUCGGGUUGUAAACCGCUUUCGCCUGUGACGAAGCGUGAGUGACGGUAAUGGGUAAAGAAGCACCGGCUAACUACGUGCCAGCAGCCGCGGUGAUACGUAGGGUGCGAGCGUUGUCCGGAUUUAUUGGGCGUAAAGGGCUCGUAGGUGGUUGAUCGCGUCGGAAGUGUAAUCUUGGGGCUUAACCCUGAGCGUGCUUUCGAUACGGGUUGACUUGAGGAAGGUAGGGGAGAAUGGAAUUCCUGGUGGAGCGGUGGAAUGCGCAGAUAUCAGGAGGAACACCAGUGGCGAAGGCGGUUCUCUGGGCCUUUCCUGACGCUGAGGAGCGAAAGCGUGGGGAGCGAACAGGCUUAGAUACCCUGGUAGUCCACGCUGUAAACGGUGGGUACUAGGUGUGGGGUCCAUUCCACGGGUUCCGUGCCGUAGCUAACGCUUUAAGUACCCCGCCUGGGGAGUACGGCCGCAAGGCUAAAACUCAAAGGAAUUGACGGGGCCCCGCACAAGCGGCGGAGCAUGCGGAUUAAUUCGAUGCAACGCGUAGAACCUUACCUGGGUUUGACAUGGAUCGGGAGUGCUCAGAGAUGGGUGUGCCUCUUUGGGGUCGGUUCACAGGUGGUGCAUGGCUGUCGUCAGCUCGUGUCGUGAGAUGUUGGGUUAAGUCCCGCAACGAGCGCAACCCUUGUUCACUGUUGCCAGCACGUUAUGGUGGGGACUCAGUGGAGACCGCCGGGGUCAACUCGGAGGAAGGUGGGGAUGACGUCAAGUCAUCAUGCCCCUUAUGUCCAGGGCUUCACGCAUGCUACAAUGGCUGGUACAGAGAGUGGCGAGCCUGUGAGGGUGAGCGAAUCUCGGAAAGCCGGUCUCAGUUCGGAUUGGGGUCUGCAACUCGACCUCAUGAAGUCGGAGUCGCUAGUAAUCGCAGAUCAGCAACGCUGCGGUGAAUACGUUCCCGGGGCU
rnacentral:rRNA from 1 species